rnacentral:sRNA from 1 species
UAAUACUGUUCAUGCGCUCUACUUGGCC